rnacentral:rRNA from 1 species
GAUGAACGCUGGCGGCGUGCCUAAUACAUGCAAGUCGAGCGAACAGACGAGGAGCUUGCUCCUCUGACGUUAGCGGCGGACGGGUGAGUAACACGUGGAUAACCUACCUAUCAGACUGGGAUAACUUCGGGAAACCGGAGCUAAUACCGGAUAAUAUAUUGAACCGCAUGGUUCAAUAGUGAAAGACGGUUUUGCUGUCACGUAUAGAUGCAUCCCCGCCGCAUUAGCUGGUUGGGAAGGUAACGGCUUACCAAGGCAACGAGGCGUAUCCGAGGUGAGAGGGUGAUCGGCCGCACUGGAGGUGGGACACGGUCCAGGCGCCUACGGGAGGCAGCAGUAGGGUAUGUUCCGCAGUGGUCGGAAGCAUGGCGGAGCAACGCCGAGUGAGUGAUGGAGGUCUUCGGAGCGUAAUACUCUGUUAUGAGGGGAAAACAAAUUUGUAAGUAACUAUGCACGUCUUGACGGUACCGGGUCAGAAAGCCACGGCUAACUACGUG